GAUGAACGCUGGCGGCGUGCCUAAUACAUGCAAGUCGAGCGAACAGACGAGGAGCUUGCUCCUCUGACAUUAGCGGCGGACGGGUGAGUAACACGUAGAUAACCUACCUAUAAGCCUGGGAUAACUUCGGGAAACCGGAGCUAAUACCGGAUAAUAUAUUAAACCGCAUGGUUCCAUAGUAAAAGACGGAUUUGCUGUACCAUAUAGAUGACUUCGCGUCGAAUUAGCUAGUUGGUAAGGUAACGGCUUACAAAGGCAACGAUGCGUAGCCGACCUGAAAGGGUGAUCGGCCGAACUGGAACUGAGACACGGCCAAGACUCCUACGGGAGGAACCAGUAGGGAAUCUUCGGAAAUGGGCGAAGUCCUGACGGAGCAACGCCGCUGGAGUGAUGAAGGUCUCCGGAUCGUAAACCUUUGUUAUUAGGGAAGAACAAAUUUGUAAGUAACUAUGCACGUCUUGACGGUACCUAAUCAGAAAGCCACGGCUAACUACGUG
rnacentral:rRNA from 1 species